ACCGUGGUAUCAACCUACCAUCUGCUAAUGAAGUUUUUGAUGAGGCAUGGGGUCGAAGAAGUCCAACGAGAUCAAGGACUAGCACGACACUGCUACACGAUCCUCCUCUAGGAAGCAAGACUACCCAACGCUCUUCCUAUUAAAGGGCUAGACACCCAUGAGGAAUUGGCCAAAGAACAUGGAGAACCAGUAGAUAACCUCAUCAUAAUUCCCUAGGAGGGUAGAAAUGAUGAGCACAUAGUUCAGAUCAGAUCGGAUCGAAUCUAAAUGUGGUAAUGAAAAACCAGCUCACGUUUGUAGGAAAAUGCUGAUGUCUUUGCAUGGUUGCCUGCUAACAUGCUAGGCAUCGAACCUGAAAUCAUGAUGCAUCGACAAAAUGUGGAUCCAGCAUAUCGACCCAUCAAGUAAAAGAAAUGAAGCUCCACCCC
rnacentral:lncRNA from 1 species